GAUGAACGCUGGCGGCGUGCCUAAUACAUGCAAGUCGAGCGAACAGACGAGGAGCUUGCUCCUCUGACGUUAGCGGCUGACGGGUGAGUAACACGUGGAUAACCUACCUAUAAGACUGGGAUAACUUCGGGAAACCGGAGCUAAUACCGGAUAAAAUGUUGAACCGCAUGGUUCAACAGUGAAAGACGGUCUUGCUGUCACUUAUAGAUGGAUCCGCGCCGCAUUAGCUAGUUGGUAAGGUAACGGCUUACCAAGGCAACGAUGCGUAGCCGACCUGAGAGGGUGAUCGGCCACACUGGAACUGAGACACGGUCCAGACUCCUACGGGAGGCAGCAGUAGGGAAUCUUCCGCAAUGGGCGAAAGCCUGACGGAGCAACGCCGCGUGAGUGAUGAAGGUCUUCGGAUCGUAAAACUCUGUUAUUAGGGAAGAACAAAUGUGUAAGUAACUAUGCACGUCUUGACGGUACCUAAUCAGAAAGCCACGGCUAACUACGUG
rnacentral:rRNA from 1 species